rnacentral:rRNA from 1 species
UUAAAGAAAGCGUAAUAGCUCACUAGUCGAGUCGGCCUGCGCGGAAGAUGUAACGGGGCUAAGCAAUACACCGAAGCUGCGGCAAUGUCUUUUAGACAUUGGGUAGGGGAGCGUUCUGUAAGCCGUUGAAGGUGAAUCGUAAGGUUUGCUGGAGGUAUCAGAAGUGCGAAUGCUGACAUGAGUAACGACAAAGGGGGUGAAAAACCUCCUCGCCGGAAGACCAAGGGUUCCUGUCCAACGUUAAUCGGGGCAGGGUGAGUCGACCCCUAAGGUGAGGCCGAAAGGCGUAAUCGAUGGGAAACGGGUUAAUAUUCCCGUACUUCUGACUAUUGCGAUGGGGGGACGGAGAAGGCUAGGUGGGCCAGGCGACGGUUGUCCUGGUUCAAGUGCGUAGGCUUGAGAGUUAGGUAAAUCCGGCUCUCUCUAAGGCUGAGACACGACGUCGAGCUACUACGGUAGUGAAGUCAUUGAUGCCAUGCUUCCAGGAAAAGCCUCUAAGCUUCAGAUAGUCAGGAAUCGUACCCCAAACCGACACAGGUGGUCGGGUAGAGAAUACCAAGGCGCUUGAGAGAACUCGGGUGAAGGAACUAGGCAAAAUGGUACCGUAACUUCGGGAGAAGGUACGCUCUUGAUGGUGAAGUCCCUCGCGGAUGGAGCUGACGAGAGUCGCAGAUACCAGGUGGCUGCAACUGUUUAUUAAAAACACAGCACUGUGCAAAAUCGCAAGAUGACGUAUACGGUGUGACGCCUGCCCGGUGCCGGAAGGUUAAUUGAUGGGGUUAGCGCAAGCGAAGCUCUUGAUCGAAGCCCCGGUAAACGGCGGCCGUAACUAUAACGGUCCUAAGGUAGCGAAAUUCCUUGUCGGGUAAGUUCCGACCUGCACGAAUGGCGUAAUGAUGGCCACGCUGUCUCCACCCGAGACUCAGUGAAAUUGAAAUCGCUGUGAAGAUGCAGUGUACCCGCGGCUAGACGGAAAGACCCCGUGAACCUUUACUACAGCUUGGCACUGAACAUUGAACCUACAUGUGUAGGAUAGGUGGGAGGCUAUGAAGACGUGACGCCAGUUGCGUUGGAGCCGUCCUUGAAAUACCACCCUUGUAUGUUUGAUGUUCUAACUUAGACCC